rnacentral:rRNA from 1 species
GAUGAACGCUGGCGGCGUGCCUAAUACAUGCAAGUCGAGCGAACAGACGAGGAGCUUGCUCCUCUGACGUUAGCGGCGGACGGGUGAGUAACACGUGGAUAACCUACCUAUAAGACUGGGAUAACUUCGGGAAGCCGGAGCUAAUACCGGAUAAUAUAUUGAACCGCAUGGCUCAAUAGUGAAAGACGGUUUUGCUGUCACUUAUAGAUGGAUCCGCGCCGCAUUAGCUAGUUGGUAAGGUAACGGCUUACCAAGGCGACGAUGCGUAGCCGACCUGAGAGGGUGAUCGGCCACACUGGAACUGAGACACGGUCCAGACUCCUACGGGAGGCAGCAGUAGGGAAUCUUCCGCAAAGGGCGAAAGCCUGACGGAGCAACGCCGCGUGAGUGAUGAAGGUCUUCGGAUCGUAAAACUCUGUUAUUAGGGAAGAACAAAUGUGUAAGUAACUAUGCACGUCUUGACGGUACCUAAUCAGAAAGCCACGGCUAACUACGUG